AGCGUACACGGUGGAUGCCCUGGCAGUCAGAGGCGAUGAAGGACGUGCUAAUCUGCGAUAAGCGUCGGUAAGGUGAUAUGAACCGUUAUAACCGGCGAUUUCCGAAUGGGGAAACCCAGUGUGUUUCGACACACUAUCAUUAACUGAAUCCAUAGGUUAAUGAGGCGAACCGGGGGAACUGAAACAUCUAAGUACCCCGAGGAAAAGAAAUCAACCGAGAUUCCCCCAGUAGCGGCGAGCGAACGGGGAGGAGCCCAGAGCCUGAAUCAGUGUGUGUGUUAGUGGAAGCGUCUGGAAAGGCGCGCGAUACAGGGUGACAGCCCCGUACACAAAAAUGCACAUACUGUGAGCUCGAUGAGUAGGGCGGGACACGUGGUAUCCUGUCUGAAUAUGGGGGGACCAUCCUCCAAGGCUAAAUACUCCUGACUGACCGAUAGUGAACCAGUACCGUGAGGGAAAGGCGAAAAGAACCCCGGCGAGGGGAGUGAAAAAGAACCUGAAACCGUGUACGUACAAGCAGUGGGAGCACGCUUAGGCGUGUGACUGCGUACCUUUUGUAUAAUGGGUCAGCGACUUAUAUUCUGUAGCAAGGUUAACCGAAUAGGGGAGCCGAAGGGAAACCGAGUCUUAACUGGGCGUUAAGUUGCAGGGUAUAGACCCGAAACCCGGUGAUCUAGCCAUGGGCAGGUUGAAGGUUGGGUAACACUAACUGGAGGACCGAACCGACUAAUGUUGAAAAAUUAGCGGAUGACUUGUGGCUGGGGGUGAAAGGCCAAUCAAACCGGGAGAUAGCUGGUUCUCCCCGAAAGCUAUUUAGGUAGCGCCUCGUGAAUUCAUCUCCGGGGGUAGAGCACUGUUUCGGCAAGGGGGUCAUCCCGACUUACCAACCCGAUGCAAACUGCGAAUACCGGAGAAUGUUAUCACGGGAGACACACGGCGGGUGCUAACGUCCGUCGUGAAGAGGGAAACAACCCAGACCGCCAGCUAAGGUCCCAAAGUCAUGGUUAAGUGGGAAACGAUGUGGGAAGGCCCAGACAGCCAGGAUGUUGGCUUAGAAGCAGCCAUCAUUUAAAGAAAGCGUAAUAGCUCACUGGUCGAGUCGGCCUGCGCGGAAGAUGUAACGGGGCUAAACCAUGCACCGAAGCUGCGGCAGCGACGCUUAUGCGUUGUUGGGUAGGGGAGCGUUCUGUAAGCCUGUGAAGGUGUACUGUGAGGUAUGCUGGAGGUAUCAGAAGUGCGAAUGCUGACAUAAGUAACGAUAAAGCGGGUGAAAAGCCCGCUCGCCGGAAGACCAAGGGUUCCUGUCCAACGUUAAUCGGGGCAGGGUGAGUCGACCCCUAAGGCGAGGCCGAAAGGCGUAGUCGAUGGGAAACAGGUUAAUAUUCCUGUACUUGGUGUUACUGCGAAGGGGGGACGGAGAAGGCUAUGUUGGCCGGGCGACGGUUGUCCCGGUUUAAGCGUGUAGGCUGGUUUUCCAGGCAAAUCCGGAAAAUCAAGGCUGAGGCGUGAUGACGAGGCACUACGGUGCUGAAGCAACAAAUGCCCUGCUUCCAGGAAAAGCCUCUAAGCAUCAGGUAACAUCAAAUCGUACCCCAAACCGACACAGGUGGUCAGGUAGAGAAUACCAAGGCGCUUGAGAGAACUCGGGUGAAGGAACUAGGCAAAAUGGUGCCGUAACUUCGGGAGAAGGCACGCUGAUAUGUAGGUGAAGUCCCUCGCGGAUGGAGCUGAAAUCAGUCGAAGAUACCAGCUGGCUGCAACUGUUUAUUAAAAACACAGCACUGUGCAAACACGAAAGUGGACGUAUACGGUGUGACGCCUGCCCGGUGCCGGAAGGUUAAUUGAUGGGGUUAGCGCAAGCGAAGCUCUUGAUCGAAGCCCCGGUAAACGGCGGCCGUAACUAUAACGGUCCUAAGGUAGCGAAAUUCCUUGUCGGGUAAGUUCCGACCUGCACGAAUGGCGUAAUGAUGGCCAGGCUGUCUCCACCCGAGACUCAGUGAAAUUGAACUCGCUGUGAAGAUGCAGUGUACCCGCGGCAAGACGGAAAGACCCCGUGAACCUUUACUAUAGCUUGACACUGAACAUUGAGCCUUGAUGUGUAGGAUAGGUGGGAGGCUUUGAAGUGUGGACGCCAGUCUGCAUGGAGCCGACCUUGAAAUACCACCCUUUAAUGUUUGAUGUUCUAACGUUGACCCGUAAUCCGGGUUGCGGACAGUGUCUGGUGGGUAGUUUGACUGGGGCGGUCUCCUCCUAAAGAGUAACGGAGGAGCACGAAGGUUGGCUAAUCCUGGUCGGACAUCAGGAGGUUAGUGCAAUGGCAUAAGCCAGCUUGACUGCGAGCGUGACGGCGCGAGCAGGUGCGAAAGCAGGUCAUAGUGAUCCGGUGGUUCUGAAUGGAAGGGCCAUCGCUCAACGGAUAAAAGGUACUCCGGGGAUAACAGGCUGAUACCGCCCAAGAGUUCAUAUCGACGGCGGUGUUUGGCACCUCGAUGUCGGCUCAUCACAUCCUGGGGCUGAAGUAGGUCCCAAGGGUAUGGCUGUUCGCCAUUUAAAGUGGUACGCGAGCUGGGUUUAGAACGUCGUGAGACAGUUCGGUCCCUAUCUGCCGUGGGCGCUGGAGAACUGAGGGGGGCUGCUCCUAGUACGAGAGGACCGGAGUGGACGCAUCACUGGUGUUCGGGUUGUCAUGCCAAUGGCACUGCCCGGUAGCUAAAUGCGGAAGAGAUAAGUGCUGAAAGCAUCUAAGCACGAAACUUGCCCCGAGAUGAGUUCUCCCUGACUCCUUGA
rnacentral:rRNA from 1 species